rnacentral:rRNA from 1 species
GUGAAAUUGUUGAAAGGGAAACGAUUGAAGCCAGUCGUACCUUCGGGUAAUCAGCCUUUCGGGUGCGAUUCUGUGGAGUGUGAGGAGCUUAAACACCUUCAUGUUUUGCAUAUUCGUACUCUUGGGUGUACUUGCCCGUGUGGUUGGUUAACAUCAAUUUUGGUGGUCAUAAAAUGACUGGAGGAAUGUAGCUUCGAUCUUGUAUUGAAGUGUUAUAGCCUUUGGUAGAUGUGACGAUUGGGAUCGAGGAUUGCAACGAAUACCCUUUGGGCUAUCCGUCUGACCUCUGAAAGUCGCUCGGGUGUCGAAAGCGUGCUUAUGACAUUCUAGUUGGCGGUCAAAAGGUUAGAACGCGAUUACAUUCGUUAAGGAUGUUGACGUAAUGGCUUUAAACGAC